UUUAUCUAGCAGUCGUUCAACAAGCAUUGUAUUCGAAUAUAAAAAUCGAAAUUUGAAGAGUAUAAAUUGUUAGUAUGUCAUAAUUCCAAAAAUGGCUAAAAACAAAAGUACUGAUUGAAAAAUAUUUAGUUAAGUUAGAGUAAAGAAUUUUAUAGAAGGACGUUUUCCCCCAUUCCUGCAGAGUACACUUCCUGCUUGCACUCGAUGAAACAUUUAACAUAUUGAACAUAAGCUAUUUGUCUGAUUUUUGAUUUUUGUAUUACAAUAAUUUGUUGAUUUAGCCAUACGUUGGAAUUAAGAUCUAUAUUUCGUCUCUUGUUGGCAUCAAGUUACGUUUUAAUGGUGAUUACAUUACACUUAAAGAAUAUUAAUUAAAAACAAUGCACAUAAAUAAACAUAACGAAAAAAAAAAAUAAAUUCUAGUAGGCGUUGGGGUCUUUUUUAAGAGAAUUGUUUCUGAUUCUAAAACGUAUUAGAAAUUCAAACAAUUGCAGUUUGAAGUUGAUACCCUUAACAUCUCACACCCCUUUUCAUUUCCAGACAUUAAAUAUAGGACGCAAGGACUUUUAUUAUUGAUUUUAAGCAGAGCAGACUAAUCAAUUACACAAGUCAAUUGUGUCCCUAAAUUCAAAACUGUACCUUUUUCCUUGAAGAAGUUAACAGAAAACUCCCAUCAAAAUGUGUUAUUCUGCCUGUGGAUCUUGCUGCUCCCCAUGUCUCUCCUGUGCAUACUCGUGUACCUCACCAUGUUGCGGCUGCUGUGGCAUUUGUGGUGCUUGUGGUACAGGAUAUGGUUGCGGCGGAUGUGGUGGUUGUGGCGGCUGUGGCGGUUGCUGUU